rnacentral:tRNA from 1 species
GGGGUUGUAGCUCAGUUGGUAGAGCGUUUCGUCCGCAACGAAAAGGUCACGGGUUCGACUCCCGCCAGCUCCA